UACGGAGGGGGCUAGCGUUGUUCGGAAUUACUGGGCGUAAAGCGCGCGUAGGCGGCUUUGUAAGUUAGAGGUGAAAGCCCGAAGCUCAACUUCGGAAUUGCCUUUAAGACUGCAUCGCUAGAAUCAUGGAGAGGUGAGUGGAAUUCCGAGUGUAGAGGUGAAAUUCGUAGAUAUUCGCAAGAACACCGGUGGCGAAGGCGGCCAACUGGUCCGGAUCUGACGCUGAGGCGCGAAAGCGUGGGGAGCAAACAGG
rnacentral:rRNA from 1 species